rnacentral:lncRNA from 1 species
AGGAAGAAAGGAAGGAAGAAACGGGAAGGAAGACUAGGUCUCUGGGCCUCGUGGGCGUCUAAGUGGGAGGUGACAGAGUCUCCUCCUGCGAUCAGUUCUCGCCCUGAGAUUGCCUCCUCCGCCCCGGACGCCGCCGAGCUUUGGGGAAACCGCACCAGGUGUGAACAAGUUAGAGCAAGUUCCAGCCUAGCUGGCCCCCUCCUGCUCCUUGGGGAAACACACACACGCGCGCGCGCGCGCUUUCAUCCGCCCAGUUCUCCGCAGGGGGAAUCCAGGGGUGGCACUUCUCGGGAAUCGAACCCGAGAUACAUCCGGCUUUGUUCAAAAUGCACUCCCCCCCACCCCCCAGAAAUGUGCAGGAAGGAGCCCAGUGCACUAGGCAGCUGUUAGUAGUAGACGCGGAUCCGCGCACGGGAGUUGGAGCACAGCAACCUCACUGGCUAUGUCCGGAGCUGGCGCACCGCAGUCUCACGGGCCCUUUGUCCCAGGAUGCUUUCAGGUUUUCGGGCUGCCAGGACGCUCCCGCGGGGAAUUUCAGCGGUGCUGAGAAUCCCGGCUAGUUACCUAUAAGGGGCUGCUCCCCAGCGGCCCUCACCGCGAACGCAGUGAGCCUACGGGCCGCGUUGGCUCGGGGCUGCGCUCCCGGCUUGGCCUGGGGACUUGGACCUACGUUCCAGUCCUGGAGCAGAGGAGAUCCCCAGGUCUCCCCACUUCUGCGAGCAGCGAGGGUCCCCCGCUCCCUCCUCCCCUGCUGGGCGAGCUGCUUUGAAUUGCUCGCAAUUUGCCGAAGGCGGUGUGCUGGGUUGGACGCUCCGGGAAACAAAGCAACCAAAAACAGCUCCCAGUUGACGUCAACCUAUUUCCAGAAAAGAAAAUAGUUUUGUACUCCUAGAACAAAAUCCCCCCCAGGGCAGGUCUCUACUGGCAAAAGCCUGGGGGCGGGGAUGGAGAACAGCAGAACCAAAAAAACCCACACGCAAAUAACUUUUUAACGGACUUGGAAAAACAGCAGCUUCAGAUGCUGCCUGGGUAUUUUGCAAACAACGGGCAGGACCCCCGCUAAUAUUAGAUAUGAAGAAAACGCACCUUGGAAAAGUACCCCUUGGCCUGAUUAUCUGGCGAUUUUGAGUCUGCUUCGUGGCACCAGCUCCUGAAACGUUACCAAAAUUCUUUGCCCAUAAUACCUCAUCAAAUAUUGGGAAAAAACCUCUUCAGGUUGGUGCCUACAGUAUUUACCGGAAGAAAACCCAGAAAAAUCAAGCAGUUAUAAACCUGUUUCCUCUCAAGCCCCCACCCACCAAUACCCCCCCCAUGUUGCUUAUUUUUUAAAACCCAAUAACACGGAAUUACAGCUGAGUUCAUAAAGGAGUUCAAGCCCAGCUUUAAUAAAUGAUCCCUUAAAAACAUCCUGUGGUUCCACACACUCAAUUCAAAAUAGGGAGAAUCAAAAAAGCUCUUCUUAUUUUGAUGAAAGAGGCAAUAUUGGUUAUCUUCUGCCUAUCAGCCCAGCCCCCCAUUCCUCCACUCUCAUUUUUCCCUGUCAUGAAGUCCAUGUAGCUCACCACUUCAAACUGAGAGCUGCUCUUCACUCCAUAGUAAGGAAGGUUUCUUCUUGUGCAGAAUAGCUUCUACUCAUAUAAAGCACAUAGCUUCCUUAUCUAAACAUGAUUCCGGUACUGUAUGGAACAUUUUUAUUGCAAUUAGCUAACUGUCAGAACUCUUCAUUAUAAACUACCCUAAGAGGUUUACAACUUCACCAAGAUGCUCCACAUUUUUUUUUAUCUCUGUCAUUAUCAUUAUAAAGUGCUGUCUAUAUAUCUGUGCUUCUCCAUUUCUCAGAUUACUUGAAAGUAGUGACGGGGUUACCUUGAAAGGAAAAACUCCAAAUGUUUCCCUCUCAUUUUAUAACGCACCUUCUUACUUCCAUUCAGUUCACUAUGAAAGGUUAUGCCCUAAGGAACACAUUCAGCUCUUUCUCCUUUUUGAUUGCAGUCUUCUGACUUCAUCUAUUUUAUAACUGAUGUAGUUACUUUCUGUUUCCCCUCCUAAACCAAUAUACCUCUGUAGUAGGCUGGUGCCCUCCAGUUGUUUACUUUCUUUUUUUUGGGGGGGGCGGGCUUUUGUCUUUUUAGGGCCGCUCCUUCAGGCACAUGGAGGUUCCCAGGCUAGGGGUCUAAUCGGAGCUGUAGCUGCCGGCCUGUGCCACAGCCACAGCAACGCUGGAUCUGAGCUGUGCCUUCGACCUACAGCACAGCUCACGGCAACACCAGAUCCUUAACCCACUGAGCAAGGCCAGGGAUUGAACCCGAAACCUCAAGGUUCCUAGUCAGAUUCGUUUCUUCUGUGCCAGGACGGGAACUCCUCCAGUUGUGUACUUUGAAAUGAAUGAACAGGAUCUGUGUUUAGUUAACUCCUAUAUUUAGGAAGACAUAUUUUUGGGGGAAAUCUGAAGUGUCACGGAUCUGAAUUUCUAUAUUAAAAAUAAGGGCAAAAAAAGUAACUACAAGGCAUCAUUACUGUUUGUAGUAAUGUUUGCAAGUUAAAAUGAUUAUAAUGACUGCUUUGGUUUAAUACUUCUCUGCCAUUAAUUCCCUCUCUAGUGGAACACAUUAGAGGAAGUUAUUGCAGAAGUGAGGGACUGGGGAAUGGGGCGAUCUUUGUAUUCAGAGAGGUAAGUUGGGGAGGAUUUAAAUGGAUAUAUUCAAGAAAUGUUGUGGGCUCAGGGGCAGAGGCCAGAAAAAGAAUUUAGUUCAUCACCUAAAUCACUUUUUAGUUCAUCACUAUUUUUAGUUCAUCACUUUUAAGUCAUGCUUUCUUGAUUUGGUUACUAAAAGAUUCAUAAAGUACUUUGCAGAUUAAAUAUGAGUUCACAUUGAAGCUAUUUUGACAUAUCUUUGUAGAGUUUUACUACUAAAUUCUGUUGAAUUUAAUUGAAGAUCAUCUUGAAUAAUUUUUUUCUUAAACUCAGAUGAAGUAGAACCCAUGUAAUCCAAACUAUGAGGUGGAAGAAAAGAAAACUCCAUAAAAGCAGAAACUGAGUCUUACUUAUUACCGCAUCUCUGGCUCAUUUCCAAUAUAGUUCCUUCACAUAUUUUAGCAGAGUGUUUGGUACAGAGUAGACACUCAAUAAACAUACAAAUACUUAUGUGUGGGGAGAGAGAUAAUCGCCACAGAAGAUUACAGAGCAGAGCAGUUAAAAAUUGCAUCUUUGGGCUUGAAUCCUUACCAGUCGCCCUCAUUAUUUUGUUAUCUGGAUGAUAAUACGAGUCCCUGCCUCACAGAAUUGUGAGAAUUAAAUGGGUUUGUAUGAGUAAAGAAUGGAACACAGCAUCUGGAACAUCAGUAAACAUUCAACUAUUAAUUCUUAGGUAUUAAGACUCUAGUAUUUUCCAGGUUUGAUUAUAAGCAAGAAAAUGAAGGCCAGAAAGGCUCACAAGGUUUUAGCCACUUGCCCAACGUCUGCCAGGCCUCCAUAGGGCACAAAAGUUUUGCUCCAUAGCCCAAGCAUAAGCGGCUUGCCACACUGAGGUUCUAGGAGCAAAG